GCUACCAUUCUGUUGGGGGAGAAAGGAUUUUUAAUAUUAAAGAGUUUGCUACUGGUUUUGUUAAUGUUCUAUUUUAGAAGAGUUUGUUAUAUUGUUUGAUAUGCCUGAAAAAAAGCUUGAAGGCUAUUUGUCUUGACCCAUGCCAUCUAUUGAUAGCUAAAUAUAUUGAAGACCUGAGAGAUAGAUAGCCUAUAUUAUCACAUAAUUUACUACUAGGAGAGGUGUGUCUAGGCCACCUGACUUGUUUGUGCCACUUUCUAUCUAGCCAAGAAAUUCAAAUAUUGUGGCAUGUAGUAAAACUAUGGCCUGACAUCCUGAAUCCAUCAAAAUAUAUCCAUAAGAUAGGGUGUAGUGGUAAGAAGCCAUGAAAUAACAACUGGGCAAGACUUAGCACCCUCAUUCUAGGCCAUACAAUAAAGCACACCACUAAAUAGUCUUUCUUAGGCAAGAUCCCAGCCACCAGGAGCCGUGCAGUGAACUCUGCUAGAAUGUUGAUCCAAACACUGGAACUUUAUUGGAAUUCUCUGUAAUGCUUUAAGUAACAUGAGGAAGUGCUUUUAAUGAGCCACUUGGGAAAUGUGGAAUAGUGCAGUUUGCUUUUUUCAUAAUGCUCAAUGGCUAAGAUUUUUUUUUUUACGUCUUUUUUUUUUUGUCAGACUAUGAGGCUCAAUAGUAAAAAUAUGUUUCCAGCUUUCGAGAAAUAAAUUCAAGCUGGGAGAAAUGUGAUGCCAGUAAAGGCUAGCCAGCCUUCAGAAUCAUUUUACGUCGUGCAGCAUUUAUGUUGGAACUUAAUGGACAUAAGACACCAGAAUUUAAUAAGAGACUAAAAGAAAAUAGAUGAGAUACUUGAAGAACAUAUGUGGAGGAGGAAUGAGAUUGCUGCACAUGGAGGAGGAGUAAAAGAGACUCUCCAUUCUCAUAUUCUCUGACUUCGGAUUGAGAGAGUGAGAGCCAGCAAUUUAUGGUUCUGUGAAUCCAGGAUCUUCUCUCCUCCCUGGGUCAGUGGAAGAAGUGAAUGAAUAAGGUAGAGGUAGACAUCUGAGUCAAUGAGUACAAGAUAAAGAUGUAAAAAGUGAUAAUAUUUACAAAGAAAAAUAGUCUAUUUCCAUUUCUGUAACACUCAUUUCUGAACUAUAAAACGUAUGUAAUACCUGAAGGUGAAUGCAUUCAUUGUCCAAUUAACCCCUUACUGACUUCUGGGCAUUAGAUAUUUUGGUUCCUAGAGGUAUGUUGUCAUGUGCUACAGAGGAUGAUGACAAGCAACUGCAUUAAAAAAAGGCAUAUAUGCCCACAAUAUAGC
rnacentral:lncRNA from 1 species